rnacentral:rRNA from 1 species
CCAAUAGCGUAUAUUAAAGUUGUUGCAGUUAAAAAGCUCGUAGUUGAACUUCGGGGUUCACCCAUUGGUCAGGCUUAAUUGUCUGCACUGGUGAGAUGAGUCUCUACCUUCUGAGGAACUUUCAUGCCAUUUAUUUGGUGUGAUGGGAAAUCAGGACUGUUACUUUGAAAAAAUUAGAGUGUUUAAAGCAGGCUAACGUCUGAAUACAUUAGCAUGGAAUAAUGAAAUAGGACGGACUGAUUCUAUUUCGUUGGUUUCUAGGAUCACCGUAAUGAUUAAUAGGGAUAGUUGGGGGCAUUAGUAUUCAAUUGUCAGAGGUGAAAUUCUUGGAUUUAUUGAAGACUAACUACUGCGAAAGCAUUUGCCAAGGAUGUUUUCAUUAAUCAAGAACGAAAGUUAGGGGAUCGAAGACGAUCAGAUACCGUCGUAGUCUUAACCAUAAACUAUGCCGACUAGGGAUCGGGCGAAGUUAAUUUUAUAAUGACGCGUCCGGCACCUUACG